rnacentral:rRNA from 1 species
UGGGGAAUAAUUGGGCAAUGGACGCAAGUCUGACCCAGCAACGCCGCGUGAAGGAAGAAGGCUUUCGGGUUGUAAACUUCUUUUAAGGGGGAAGAGCAGAAGACGGUACCCCUUGAAUAAGCCACGGCUAACUACGUGCCAGCAGCCGNGGUAAUCA